rnacentral:tRNA from 1 species
CGGGGAGUAGCUCAGCAUGGUUUAGAGCGCAUGGUUUGGGACCAUGAGGUCGCGGGUUCAAGUCCCGCCUCCCCG